UACGUAGGGUGCGAGCGUUAAUCGGAAUUACUGGGCGUAAAGCGUGCGUAGGCGGUUUGCCGUGUCCUGUGUGAAAGCCCCGGGCUCAACCUGGGAAUUGCAUGGGAAACUGGCAGGCUUGAGUGUGGCAGAGGAGGGUGGAAUUCCGCGUGUAGCAGUGAAAUGCGUAGAUAUCUGGAGGAACACCGGUGGCGAAGGCGGCAUCCUGGACCGGCAUUGACGCUGAGGCGCGAAAGCCAGGGGAGCAAAGCGGG
rnacentral:rRNA from 1 species